rnacentral:rRNA from 1 species
GAUGAACGCUAGCGGCAGGCUUAAUACAUGCAAGUCGUGGGGCAGCAUGAGUAGCAAUACUUGAUGGCGACCUGCAAACGGGUGAGGAACACGUACACAACCUUCCUUCAAGCGGGGAAUAGCCCAGAGAAAUUUGGAUUAAUACCCCAUAAUAUAUUUGAUAAGGCAUCUUAUUAAAUAUUAAAAGCUUCGGCACUUGAUGAUGGGUGUGCGGCUGAUUAGAUAGUUGGCGGGGUAACGGCCCACCAAGUCUACGAUCAGUAGCUGAUGUGAGAGCAAUGAUCAAGCCACACGGGCACUGAGACACGGGCCCGACUCCUACGGGAGGCAGCAGUAAGGAAUAUU